rnacentral:rRNA from 1 species
UGGGGAAUUUUGGACAAUGGGGGCAACCCUGAUCCAGCCAUUCCGCGUGAGUGAAGAAGGCCUUCGGGUUGUAAAGCUCUUUCAGCAGGAACGAAACGGUCGGCUUUAAUAAAGUCGGCUAAUGACGGUACCUGCAGAAGAAGCACCGGCUAACUACGUGCCAGCAGCCGCGGUAAUACGUAGGGUGCGAGCGUUAAUCGGAAUUACUGGGCGUAAAGCGUGCGCAGGCGGCGACAUAAGACAGAUGUGAAAUCCCCGGGCUCAACCUGGGAACUGCGUUUGUGACUGUGUUGCUAGAGUGUAGCAGAGGGGGGUGAAUUCCACGUGUAGCAGUGAAAUGCGUAGAGAUGUGGAGGAACACCGAUGGCGAAGGCAGCCCCCUGGGUUAACACUGACGCUCAUGCACGAAAGCGUGGGGAGCGAAACAGGAUUAGAUACCCCCGUAGUCCCUGAGCGGGCUGGCAAGGCGCAU